rnacentral:tRNA from 1 species
GUAGACUUAGUUUAAACAAAACGUUAGAUUGUGAUUCUAAAAACAGGGGUUCGACCCCCCUAUUCCACC